rnacentral:rRNA from 1 species
CCUGGUUGAUCAUGCUAGUAGUCAUAUGCUUGUCUCAAAGAUUAAGCCAUACAUGUCUAAGUAUGGACUAAUUCAUACUGUGAAACUAUGGAUGGCUCAUUAAAUCAUUUAUAGUUUUUUUGAUGGUACCAUACUACUCAGAUGACCAUAGUAAUUCUAGAGCUAAUACAUGCACCAAGUCCUGAAUCUUUGGAAGGGAUGCAUUUUUUAGAUAAAAGGCUGGCACGGGCUUGUCCACUUUUCUAGUGAAUCAUGAUAACUUGACGAAUCGCACAACCCUUGUGUGUCCGAUGCUUCAUUCAAAUUUCUACCCUAUCAACUUUCAAUGGUAGGAUAGAUGCCUACCAUGGUGGUGACGGGUGAUGGAUAAUUAGGGUUUGAUUUCGGAGAGGGAGCUUGAGAAAUGGCUACCACAUCCAAGGAAGGCAGCAGGUGCACAAAUUACCCAAUCCUGACAUGGGGAGGUAGUGAAAAUAAAUAACAAUACUGGGCUCAUCGAGUCCGGUAAUUGGAAUGACUACAAUCUAAAUCCCUUAACAAGGAUCCAUUGGAGGGAAAGUCUAGUGCCAACAACCACGGUAAUUCUAGCUCCAAUAGUUUAUAUUUAAGUUGUUGCAGUUAAAAAGAUCGUAGUUGGAUCUUGGGUCGUAAAGUUUGGUUCGCUUACUCGAUGUGCACCUGCCCUUCCAUCCCUUUUGUAGGCGGCAUGCUCCUAGCCUUAAUUGGCUCGGUUGCAGCUCCAGUGAUGUUACUUUGAGAAAAUUAGAGUUCUCAAAGAAAUAUUAUGCUCUAAAUACAUUAGCAUGGAAUAACAUGAUAGGAGUUUGGUCUUCUUGUGUUGGCCUUCGAGACCAGAGUAAUUAUUAAUAGCGAUUGUCAGGGGCAUUCGUAUUUCAUUGUCAGAGGUGAAAUUCUUGCAUUUAUGAAAGACGAACGACUAUGAAAGAAUUUUCCAAGGAUGUUUUAAUUAAUCAAGAAUGAAAUUUGGGGUCUCGAAGAUGAUCAAAUACCAUCGUAGUAUCAACUGUAAAUGAUGCCGACUAGGGAUUGGUGGAUGUUGCUCUAAGGACUCCAAUAGCACCUUCUCAGAAAUAAAAAUGUUUGGGUUUCGGGGGGAGUAUGGUUGCAAGGCUGAAACUUAAAGGAAUUGAUGGAAGGGCACCACCAAGAGUGGAUCCUGCGACUUAAUUUGACUCAACAUGGGUAAACUUACUAGGUCUAGACAUAGUAAGGAUUGACAAAUUGAGAGCUCUUUCUUGAUUCUAUGGGUGGUGGUGCAUGGUUGUUCUUAGUUGGUGGAGCGAUUUGUCUGGUUAAUUCUAAUAAUGAACGAGACCUCAGCAUGAUAACUAGUUAUGUGGAGGUUCCACUUCGCGACCAGCUUCUUAGAUGGACUAUGGUCGUUUAGGCCAUGGAAGUUUGAGGCAAUAACAGGUCUGUGAUUCCCUUAGAUGUUCUAGGUCACAUGCAUGCUACACUAAUGCAACCAACGCGUUUUUCUUCCUAGUUCAAGAGGAUCGGGAAAUCUUAUCAAAUUGCAUCGUGAUGGGGAUAGACCAUUGCAAUUAUUGGUCUUCAACAAGGAAUUCCUAGUAAGAACAUGUCAUCAACUCGUGUUUACUAUGUCCCUGCCCUUUGUACACACUGCCCAUCGCUCCUACUGAUUGAAUGAUCUGGUGAAGUGUUCGAAUUGCGUCGACGAUGGUGGUUUGCCGCCGUUAAUGUCAUGAGAAGUUCAUUGAACCUUAUCAUUUAUAGGAAGGAGAAGUUGUAGCAAGGUUACUGUAGGUGAACCUGCGGUAG